UACGGAGGGUGCGAGCGUUGUUCGGAAUUACUGGGCGUAAAGCGCACGUAGGCGGUCUGUUAUGUCGGAUGUGAAAGCCCUUGGCUUAACUGAGGAAGUGCAUCCGAAACUGGCAGGCUAGAGUACUAAAGAGGGUCGCGGAAUUCCCGGUGUAGAGGUGAAAUUCGUAGAUAUCGGGAGGAAGACCAGUGGCGAAGGCGGGUCUCUGGACAGUUCCUGACGCUGAGGCACGAAGGCCAGGGGAGCAAACGGG
rnacentral:rRNA from 1 species